UGUAUAGCAUUUUUCAUAUUUGCCAUUUCUUACAAUUAUCUGCACCGGUCUGAGAAUUGGGAGAUACUCUCAAUCAUGAACGAUACAUCAGUUGUACCCUUGAAAACUAUUGGAAUGUGGAAUACAUUUCUGAGUCAUAGUCAAAGAAUCCUUUAAAAGGGAACCACCUUCAGUGACUUUAGACAUCAGGCUGUGUGUACUCUGAGACCGGUAUAAACAGAGGGCGGAGCCAGCUCCAAAUGGGUGGGACUUUAGCGCCAAGUGGGCUGUACAAACCUCCAGAGGACUUUGAUUGGUUACUGUAGUGUCUGUCAUGUAAACUAAGCUGUCGGGUUUUUUUUUUUCCCCAGAGGUGGAAAAAAGCGAGGGCAAAGCGAGGCUUCGUGGAACACUGAAGCAAUUGAAGCAAAUGUGCUGUAUUGUGUCGAGGCUUUGAACAAUCCGACAACCGACAAUGUCUCCACGGUGACACCUAGUGGUCACUUGUAGAUCGGGUGUGAGGGAGCAGCUAGAGUUCUUGCUGUCCUGGGUUCGAAUCCUGGGUGAAAUGUGCCUGUCCACAUCGUUGAAAUCUGGUGGGAUUUCCAGUCAGAUGAUUAACAAGGUAUCCUGAGGCGAACACUGACCAUGGAUCAGUACAAACACUAUUGAAUCAUUUCAGUUUUAUAAACCUACAUAAUAAAACUGACCGGAGAACAGUUCAAAUUAUGUAUUAAACACUGGUUCAUUGGUUCACCUGGAGAUCAACACCCCCUGGCAGCGAACCAUGGAACUUUCGAAACAGUAAUGACGUCACGAAUUUCGUUUCCUGAAAUCACAUGACUUGUCCCAUUUGAUACACGAGCCGAACCACUGAUUCGAAACAAAAGAUUCGUAAAGGUUUCGAAUGCUUCAUGAAGCUGUGUUUUGAAAGCGGUCAUCACUUGCAGUCUUUGUGUAGUAGAUUUUGUUGUGAAGGAAUAGUUCACCUAAAAGCAAUAAAGAAACUGUUGGUUAUAAUGUUGUUACACAUUCACCUCACUGAGUGCAGUUAUACCUCGUUUUAAGUUUGUUUCCAUCUUGAUAUUGAUGAAUUUUAAAAUUAAUAUUUAAUAUUAGACAAUUAUUACAUGGCAAGCAGUUUUUGUUCUCGUUAUCAACUAAUACAAUAAACGUAACAAAUGAACAGUGAGAAAAUGAACUAUACUGUUUUACGAUACAAUAACAAUAAUAUCCGCGACAGAGUCCUCUCUGACUCAUUUUCCUUCACUUCUUCCCCAUAUAGUGGACUCAAAUGCCAUUUGCUAUAUAGGUAAUAGUGAACGAGUGAGCGGUUUCAGACACAGCAGGUG